GAGUUUGAUCUUGGCUCAGGAUGAACGUUAGCGGCGUGCCUAACACAUGCAAGUCGAACGAACAGCCAGAAUCUUAGGAAUCUGGCGGGUUAGUGGCGCACGGGUGAGUAACACGUAGGUGACCUGCCCCGAAGUGGGGGGACAACCACUGGAAACAGUGGCUAAUACCGCAUGUGCUUAGCCAUUCGGUUGGUUAAGUAAAGCUGAGGCGCUUCGGGAGGGGCCUGCGGUCGAUUAGCUAGUUGGUGAGGUAAUGGCUCACCAAGGCGAUGAUCGAUAGGGGGCGUGAGAGCGUGACCCCCCACACUGGGACGUGAGACACGGCCCGACGACUCCUACGGGAGGGCAGCAGUGAGGAAUAUUGCACAAUGGGCGGCAAGCCUGAUGCAGCAACG
rnacentral:rRNA from 1 species